rnacentral:rRNA from 1 species
CCUACGGGAGGCAGCAGUAGGGAAUCUUCGGCAAUGGACGCAAGUCUGACCGAGCAACGCCGCGUGAGGGAAGGAGGCUUUCGGGUUGUAAACUUCUUUUCUCAGGGAAGAAGAAGGUGGCGGUACCUGAAGCAUAAGCCACGGCUAACUAAGUGGCAGCAGCCGCGGGACUACGUAGGGGGCAAGCGUUUUCCGGAUUUAUUGGGAGUAAAGUGCGUGUUGGCGGGAGCGCAAGUCAGAUGUGAAAACUCAGGGAUUAACCCUGAGCCGGCAUUUGAAACUGUGUUUCUUGAGUGCUGGAGAGGCAAGCGGAAUUCCGUGUGUAGCGGUGAAAUGCGUAGAUAUACGGAGGAACACCAGUGGCGAAGGCGGAUUGCUGGACAGUAACUGACGCUGAGGCUCGAAAGCGUGGGGAGCAAACAGGAUUAGAUACCCGAGUAGUA